UACGUAGGGGGCAAGCGUUGUCCGGAUUUAUUGGGCGUAAAGAGCGUGUAGGCGGCCAUGUAGGUCCGUUGUGAAAACUCGAGGCUCAACCUCGAGACGCCGAUGGAAACCAUGUGGCUAGAGUCCGGAAGAGGAGAGUGGAAUUCCUGGUGUAGCGGUGAAAUGCGCAGAUAUCAGGAAGAACACCCGUGGCUAAGGCGGGUCUCUGGGCCGAUACUGACGCUGAGGAGCGAAAGCGUGGGGAGCGAACAGG
rnacentral:rRNA from 1 species